GUGGGGAAUAUUGCGCAAUGGGCGAAAGCCUGACGCAGCAACGCCGCGUGAGGGAUGACGGCCUUCGGGUUGUAAACCUCUUUCAGCAGGGACGAAGCGAAAGUGACUGUACCUGCAGAAGAAGCGCCGGCUAACUACGUGCCAGCAGCCGCGGUAAUACGUAGGGCGCAAGCGUUGUCCGGAUUUAUUGGGCGUAAAGAGUUCGUAGGCGGUCUGUCGCGUCGGAAGUGAAAACCCGGAGCUCAACUCCGGGCCUGCUUUCGAUACGGGCAGACUUGAGUGUUGCAGGGGAGACUGGAAUUCCUGGUGUAGCGGUGGAAUGCGCAGAUAUCAGGAGGAACACCGGUGGCGAAGGCGGGUCUCUGGGCAACAACUGACGCUGAGGAACGAAAGCGUGGGGAGCGAACAGGAUUAGAAACCCCAGUAGUCC
rnacentral:rRNA from 1 species